GACAGGGGGUGCAAACGUUGUUCGGAAUUACUGGGCGUAAAGCGCGUGUAGGCGGCUUGGCAAGUCGGGUGUGAAAGCCCUGGGCUCAACCCAGGAAGUGCACUCGAAACUGCUUCGCUCGAGUAUCGGAGAGGAAAGCGGAAUUCUCGGUGUAGAGGUGAAAUUCGUAGAUAUCGAGAGGAACACCGGUGGCGAAGGCGGCUCACUGGCCCGGUACUGACGCUGAGGUGCGAAAGCGUGGGGAGCAAACAGG
rnacentral:rRNA from 1 species